GUCAGGGUGGCCGAGCGGUCCAAGGCGCUGAGUUAAGCCCCCGGAGACGUGGGUUCGAAUCCCACCCCUGACA